rnacentral:rRNA from 1 species
UACAGAGGGUGAAAGCGUUAAUCGGAAUUACUGGGCGUAAAGCGUGCGUAGACGGUUACAUAAGUCGGGUGUGAAAGCCCCGGGCUCAACCUGGGAAUUGCAUUCGAGACUGCGUAGCUAGGGUGCGGAAGAGGGAAGCGGAAUUUCCGGUGUAGCGGUGAAAUGCGUAGAUAUCGGAAGGAACAUCAGUGGCGAAGGCGACUUUCUGGACAGAUACUGACACUGAGGCACGAAAGCAUGGGGAGCAAACAGG